UCAAAAACUUAAAUCUCUCUCUAUCGUUCUCUUUGCCUUGGUACCGAAACUUAGCACUGCCACCGAAAUAAGCACAAAAACUUUGCUCACAAUGCAAACAGAAAAAUCGCCUUAGAGACUUUUCAUCUGUUUUCAAAAAUCGAAACUCAAUCCUUCGCAGUUACUUAACAAAGAUGGUUGUCGUGGCUUAUGGCCAUCACCGGAGAAGAAAUCAGCGAUUGAGCUCAUCAUCGUCGAGCAGCAGAGAUGAAGAAUAACAAUCCAAAAGUGAUGAUGGCUGUUGAUGCAGCAGCGAGGCAGCGGCGAGUGGUGUUCAUGCCAACAGUGAAGAAAGAGUAGCUAGAAGCAAGUUGAUGGCACGGUGAAGAGAACGAGAACUCCGAAAUCCUACCAUCGACGGUGUUGCAGAGGUAUUUGGAGAUGAUUUUUUUAUGUCUAAUACAAAACACAUUAAGAGAGCAGUACUAGAGUGUGCGUGUAACUCUCUUCUUCUUAAGGUAUUUUCUGGCUGAAAUUGAGGGACCUGAGCAAAAAUCUGAUUCAGAGGCUGAAAAGGACUGCAGAUGCUGUUGGAUUCUGACCUCUCUGCACUCGAAGUAACUUUUCUGGAGCUACAAAAGCCCAAUUGGCGCGCUCUUAAUUGCGUUGGAAAGUAGACAUCCUGGGCUUUCCAGCAAUAUAUAAUAGUUCAUACUUUGUCCGAGAUUUGAUGGCCCAAAAAAGCAUUUCAAGUCAGCUCAAGAAUUUUGGCGUAAAACGCCGGAACUGGCACAAGAAUGGGAGUUAAACGCCCAAACUGGCACAAAAGCUGGCGUUUAACUCCAAGAAAAGUCUCUACACGAAAAUGCUUCAAUGCUCAACCCAAGCACACACCAAGUGGGCCCGAAAGUGGAUUUUAAUGUCAUUUACUCAUCUUUGUAAACCCUAAGCUACUAGUUCUCUACAAAUAGGACCUUUUACUAUUGUAUUUUCAUCUUUUGAUCACUUUAGAUCUUAGGAUCAUCUUUGGACGUCUAGUUCUUAGAUUAUGGGAGGCUGGUCAUUCGGCCAUGCCUAGACCUUGUUCUUAUGUAUUUUCACCGGUGGAUUUUUUACAUACCAUAGAUUAAGGUGUGGAGCUCUGCUGUAC